CGACAUUUUGUAAAUUGGGAUCUGUUCCCCGAGCUUUGGGACCGCUGACCCGCCUAAGAGAAGCGAAUCGGGAAGGCGCUUUGCGGCGAUGCCUAGGCCGCACCUUCGCGCACAGACUCCCCUGGCGGCGGACGCGCUGAUGGGCCCGCCUCUGGUUCCACGUUCAGCUGAACCAUUUAUGGACCCCGCUCCAGGCUCUGUGACCUUUGAGGACGUGGCUGUGUACUUUUCCCAGGAGGAAUGGAAGCUUCUUCAUGAGGCCCAGAGACUCCUGUACCGAGAUGUGAUGCUGGAGACCUUUGCACUUGUUGCAUCAUUGGGUAAGGCGCUCAUACCUCUCCCGGCACCCUGGAAAGGUCUGUGCCUUUUCCCUUCUUUUGUAAGAACAGCUCCACACUUUUCACAGCUAGACAAGGGGCACAUGUCUGUUACUGCUUCCCUGUCAUAUGUGCUGUGGGUGCCAGGGCUGGGUGAGUGUGUCUGCUCCCUCCUUUCACAAGUAGCCCCAGUACCAGCCCCUGAAGUUUAUUCAGUGAAGGUUUUCUUCCCCCAGAGAGUUAGAAUUAGUCCAGAGGGUUCCAUUAGUCUCAGCCCCUCUCUGCUAAGGGGACUCUGUAGACCCCAUGCUGUAGACCUCUGGGCUCCAGGUUCUGCCCCCUCCUAGUUGACGUUUCCUGGGGCCUCACUGUGUCGGGAGUUGUUGGGACCCAAUAGGGUCCCUGUCUGUGGGGUCCACCUGGCUGUCUCUGUGAGGACAUCCCCCCCGCCCCCGCAGAGAUUUGUUUUGUGGUGUUAUUUUUCUUUCCCGAGAUUGUUUGGGAUUGGUUGCCCCCCUGGGCCAGUACUGACCACUCACCUGUCCUGUCUUUCCCUUAGGACUUGCAUCUUCUAGGUCCCAUGUUGUCCAGCUGGAGCUGGGAGGAGAACCCUGGGUACAUGACAGAGUGGACAUGACUCCAGGCACAGCAAGAGGGCCUCAGAGUGGGCCUGGCCCUGGUGAUUCACAUCUGGGGGAGGAUGUGAUGUCACAGCUGGGUUCACACCAUACCAGGAACAUGUCCUGUGCCCCGCACUGUUUGGGUGCCAUGGCCAGGGGCUGUGUACCUCAUUUCUGCCUUUCCUGCCCAUUCUUGACACUUUGCUCCUUCUCUCAUUUCUACUCUGCCUUCCGGCCCAGGAUUGUCCCUCACCUCUGUCUUCCACUCCUCCCUGAUCCUCUCCAUCCUUACUCUGCUGUGCUUGGGUAAUGUGGCCUAAACGUAAUGUGUCAUAAGGUCUGCACCCGUCUUAAGAUAGUCCUUGAACACCAGCUCCUCAGGGACAGUUGGAUUUUCCUGGGGCUGGACACACCCUUCCACACAGCACACAGGACACUAGCAGCCAAGGCCCUGGUGAAAACCGUUUCUGGAGGAGUAGUGGAUCCCUGGCUCCUCCGUGCACUUCACCCCAUCCUUGUGUCUUUUGCCUGGUUGCUGGCCUGGAGUUGAUGACAAGGAGACACUUUCUGAGCAGACUAUUUCUGUAGAAGGGCCCCACAUAAAUCCUUCAAAGGCAGACCUGUCCACCCAGAAGGCAUAUGCUUGGAAAAAGUGUUGCCUGGACAUAGGAGGUGGUUUGCAUGUAGCUAAAGAGCUGAGAACACACCCUGGCCAGAACCUGUGUGAGUCAGGAGUGCAAUUUCACCAGCACAAUGGAAAGAACAUGUUUAGAACAGAUAUGGAUAAGGCUUUUAUGAAGAGCCACAUAGUCUAUGCAUCCACGGUGUCUGCCACAUGCCAGGAGGCUGGGAAGGAUUUCCCUGGUAUCUGUGGCCUUGUCCAGCUUCAGCUCACACCACAAAAGGACACUGUGUGUGUGGAGGCCUUUCCUAGUGUGCAAAGGCAAUAUGAGUGCAGUGAAUGUGGGAAAGCUUUCUGUCGUAAAUACAGGCUUGCUCAGCACCAGAGAGUUCACACUGGAGAGAGACCUUAUGAGUGCAGCGAAUGUGGGAAAAGCUUCAGCUAUAAGCACAUACUUGUUCAGCACCAGAGAGUCCACACUGGAGAAAGGCCUUAUGAGUGCAGUUCAUGCGGGAAAGCUUUUAGCAACAAACCCACACUUGUUCGGCACCAGCGAAUUCACACUGGAGAAAGGCCUUAUGAGUGCAGUGACUGUGGGAAGUUCUUCAGCCAAAGCUCCAGUCUUAAUGAACAUCAGAGAAUUCACACUGGGUCACGGCCUUAUAAAUGUGAUGAAUGUGGAAAAUUCUUUACCUCCAAUUCCAACCUAAUUAAGCACAGGCGAGUUCACACAGGCACAAGGCCUUAUGAGUGCAACGAAUGUGGGAAAUUCUUUAAUCAAAGUCCCAGCCUCAUUAAACAUCAGAGAAUCCACACCGGUGAAAAGCCAUAUGAAUGCCAUGAAUGUGGGAAACUUUUUAGCCAAAGCUCUACUCUCAUCAAGCACCAGAGGGUUCACACUGGAGCAAGGCCUUACAAGUGCACUGAAUGUGGGAAACUUUUUAGCCAAAGCUUUGGCCUCACUCAGCACCAGAGAAUUCACACUGGAGAAAGACUGUAUGAGUGCAUCAAAUGUGGAGAAGUGUUCAGCCAAAGCACCCGACUGACUCAGCACCGAAAAGUGCACACCAGAGAAAGACCUCUUGAGUGUAGCAAAUGUGGAAAAGUCUUCUGUCAAAGAGCUGCUCUGAUUGAGCACCAGAAACUUCACAGCCAAGACAGACCUUACAAAUGCAGCGAAUGUAGGAAAGCUUUCAGCCGGAGGUCCAACCUCCUUCGUCACCAGAAAGUUCAUGCUUAAGAAAGGCCUUCAAAUGGGAGGAGGAGAGCACUGGGUGAGCUAUGUCCUUAGUUAGUGCAUCAUAUUAAAGAGACUGUGGGGGAGUCAUCAACUGAGCAUCGUACAUCUGAACAUUGCUAGUGUGGAGAUGGACUCUGAGUUCCAGAUUGACAGAAACCUUCUAAGGAGCCAUGCUGUACUUUCUAACCUGCCCUGGGCCUUUGCCAGACUUAAGUCACUGUGAGGUUCUGUGGCAGAAGUCAUCUUGCCUCUACUGAGUGGCAGAUCCCCAUACUAAGCAUCACCCCUCAGUCUGACAGGCUAGAUAGACCUUUGUGCUCACCCAUCCUGGGUAGGGAAGCAUGCACAGCCUGAGCAUGUGAAUGUUGUCCUUCUCUUGUAUCUAACUGACUAGGACAUGGACAUAACCAGCUUUGACCAAGGGAAUGCAAUCUGGGUUCUGAAUGGCUUACAGAGUUUUAUCUUCAGUGGCAUUGUCUCAUGUCAUGCUCAGGACGGAUUGUUCCAGCUCCAAGUCACCUUGUUUGGGAACAUGGUAUUCCCUCAGUGGGAAUAGCAUCAUGGCAGAGAAUAGAGUUCACUCCAGUUUUAGUCUAACUGGCGUAGUGGUCCAAGGGCUCCUGGGGUAGACAGCAGGGCUUUGUGUGAUUAGUCUUGUGACCUGGGUGUCAGACUUUUUGGUGGGUCUAGAAGUCACCCUGAGAACCACCAGUGUUUUUUGGAGUAGCAUAAGUUGUUCUCUUCUUCACAGGGGGUGUCACAUAAUACCCCAAUACUGUUCCAGAGAAGAUGUUGACUAGCUCCAGUUGCAAAAGAGCUUUGCGCUCUAACCUGGCAUUACUGAGUGUUACAUUGUAGACAUUAAGUGGGUACCAUACAUGGUACAGAAACACACAGGGAAUUAAGGAAGUUUAACAAGCAAAAAGGGAUGAACCCAUUGUAAAGUUGCAUCCACAGAUGUUCCUGUGAGUAGGGUGGUUCAGGAUCAGGUUUCUGCAGAAAGUCUCAGGAGCUCCAGAGGUGUUUCUCUCCUGUGGACUGAGUCCCUGUCAGUCUGAAUAAUGUAAAGUUUAGGAUUCCCAAAGCAUCUCCAAAUUGUUUCUCUCAAGGACACUGCUGCACAGUAGGGGGAAAAAAAUGGAAAGAGUAGAAAUUGUGUUGUCCUGGAAUGUUGAGUUUUAUGAUCCAGGCAGUGUUCCUGGAUGACUCAAGUGGAAACAGCUUUCCUUGCUCACCAGUCUUCAUUGCUAUUGAGACAGAAUUCCUCCCACGACACAGAGAGAGGAGGUGAAGUAACAUGGCAGUUGCCAGAGCCCUACUGAAAAAGACAUUCAGGAAAUAGAUUAAGAUUUUAUCUUUGCUCCGGCCGCACCUGUGGCACAUGGAGGUUCCCAUGCUAGGGGUCCAGUCGGAGCUGUAGCUACCAGCCUAGGCCAGAGCCAUAGCAAUAUGGGAUCCAAGGCUUGUCUGCGACCUACACCACAGCUCACAGCAACGCUGAAUCCUUAACCCACUGAGCAAGACCAGGGAUCAAACCCAAAACCUCAUGGUUCCUAGUUGGAUUCAUUAACCCACUAAGCCAUGAUGGGAACUCCAAGAGAUUCAGAUUUUUAUGUGAAGCCAAUUUUUAUUAGAACUUAACCGAGCUCCAUAGUUAGUAUACACUGAAUAGAACAUACCUAAAAUGUACAACUCGGUAAAUUUUAAUGUUUAUAAACCCAUCAAACCAUCAUCAUAACAAAUACCCAUCACUCUCAUACCACAUGUCACCCAGGCAACUACUGUUGAUUUGCUUUUUUUCCACAAUUAAUGUCUAGAAAGACUUCUAAUAUCAUUGGAAUCUCAAUGUUCAUUUCUUAUAUUUAUCUUUGACAAUGCAGAAGUAUUUUGAGGAUCAUUUAAGCUACAAAUGUGAAUUGUUCAUUUUUUAAUUUAUGAACAAUACAGUUUGGGUAUACUACCAUUUGAUUGUUCAUCCACUCAUCUAUUAAUGUAUAGGGUUUUGUAGUUUUUUUGGACUUUUUAUUUUUAUAGCUGUACCUGUGGAAGUUCCCAGGCUAGGGGUUCAGUUGGACCCCCAGCUGCAGACCUAUGCCAUAGCUUGCGGCAAUGCCGGAUCCUUCACUGACGCUAGGUUGGGUUCUUAACCCACUGAGCCACAAGAGGAACUUCAAGGGUUUUGUAGUUUGUUUCCAGUUUUGCUACCCCCAGAUAAACUUACUUAUGAACAUGUACAAAAAACUCUUUAUAUGAACAUAUGGUUUUAAAUUCUAAAAUGAAUGACUGCCUUUUUGCAUUCCCAGGCACAGUAUGGGAACAUUUCAUUUUCCCUACAUUCCUCACCGGUACCUGUUUUGUACGGUCAGUAUUUUUAAUAUUAUGUGUUUUAAAAGCAUGUAGAGGUAUCUGACUAUGGUCUGAUUGCAUUUCUGUAAUGAUUCAUAAUGUUGAAUAUUUUUAUUUGUGUUCAUUUGCCAGGUGUCUAUUGUUCUUGAUAAAAUUUCUGUGAUUAUUCAUUGAGAAGACAGUAAAAGAAAUGCAUUGGAACUUGACUUCAGAGACUUUGCUGGGUGGAAUGAAUAUGCUCACACCAUUAUAGUCCUUAUUAUUAACAUUGUCUCCCUUAGUUUAGAAAAUUAAUAAAACAAGCAUUCUACCCUUGA